rnacentral:rRNA from 1 species
CGACCGGCGCACGGGUGAGUAACACGUAUCCAACCUGCCGUCUACUCUUGGACAGCCUUCUGAAAGGAAGAUUAAUACAAGAUGGCAUCAUGAGUCCGCAUGUUCACAUGAUUAAAGGUAUUCCGGUAGACGACGGGGAUGCGUUCCAUUAGAUAGUAGGCGGGGUAACGGCCCACCUAGUCUUCGAUGGAUAGGGGUUCUGAGAGGAAGGUCCCCCACAUUGGAACUGAGACACGGUCCAAACUCCUACGGAAGGCAGCAG